UCCAGAUCGAGUCUUGUAGUAGGUGAUCAAAAAAGAGUGUCGAUCGUUGACAAAGAAAAGAACUUUUGAAGCAACGAUGAGCGAAGGUCCAAAGCUCGACAUCAACAAACCCAAAAAUCACAACUGAAAGAAUUUCAAGAGCACCAAACAAAAACCCAACGAGCUAGUUUCUUCACCAUCAGCAAUGGUCACUCAUGAGUCUUCAGCUCUGCCACCUCAGCCACCACCAAAAGAGUCAUUUUCUCUGGCCUAUGCUCGUGGCUGUCAAUCUUGCUGUUGGAGGUCCCUUUCUUUUUCUUAUUCUUCAGCUUUGUAAUUCACUGUUUAUCUUAAUUUCCUAUCUACAUUAAUAUAUGUGGGUGUUUAUUUCAUAUGCAAAGUGAUUAAAUUUAUAAAAAGGUGUAAUGGGUUUUAAGAUUUUAGCUUAAAAGAUUUGUUUUUUAAGCUUAUCGGGUGCUUUUCAUGAUGUUAUUGUUGAUGGGUAUUCUGUUGUUAGGAUAAAGGGUUACGGUUUUAAAUAUCUCAUUUUUGGAGGAAUCCUUGAUGGGAAUGGAGGAAUUCUGACUAAAUGAGAUUUGGUGUUCCAUGGUCUGGCUUGUGUGGGAUUUAUGAUUCUCCUCAGUUGAGGAAUUGCGUGAUAAAAUGUUGAUUCUAGCCUCUGUGGAUUUAGAUCUUAAAUUCUUAAUUGGUUAUGUCAUAUGUGACAUCUAAUUACUAAUAUGCACUAAAGUGUCUAGGAACGCAAAUGUGUAAAGAGUGGUGAUAAGUAUGGGGUUAAUAUACUGUUCCUAUUAGAGGGGAAAUAAACAUUUUAUGUCUUGUGUGGGAUUGAUGAUUCUCCUUUGAUAUCCUUCGACCAAAUGGCAAUGUCCCCACCAACCCUCCCCUUCCCAAUUAGUUGAAGUAGAGGCAAAAUCACUGUUUGAAUCCCAUGUCUCAGCUGUGUCAGUUGUUUAUUUUUCUAUUGAUAAAAACCAUUAUUUCUCAACUUAAACAUUUAGUUCACUACAGGUUUCGAUCCACGCUCCUUAUAAAUGGAUGCAUAUUCCUUCAUUUUGGAAAUCCUGGAGUUUGUUGUUGUUGGAACUUCUUCUUCUUUUGUUAAUAUGGGAGUAAGAGUGACAGUAAUAGCUCAUGGCAUUCUUCAUUUUAUUAGUACAGCCUUAUGCUCCUUAUAAAUGGAUGCAUAUUCCUUCAUUUUGAAAUCCUGGAGUUUGUUGUUGUUGGAACUUCUUGUUUUGUUAAAAUGGGAGUAACGGUAAUAGCUCAUGGUGUUCUUCAUUUUAUUAGUACAGCCUUAUGCUCCUUAUAAAUGGAUGCAUAUUCCUUCAUUUUGAAAUCCUGGAGUUUGUUGUUGUUGGAACUUCUUGUUUUGUUAAAAUGGGAGUAACGGUAAUAGCUCAUGGUGUUCUUCAUUUUAUUAGUACAGCCUUAUGGUUGCCUAAUCAGAGUAAUGGUUUUGGCUAUUUAUCAUGGAAAACAGCCAAUGAUCAAGUAAAAGACUUGUUUGUCUAUCAUUCUAAGAAUAAUCAUUACAAUAGGUGGGAGAAAAAGACACACAGAAUGCAAUUCUUGCAUAAUUUUUAACUGGUCAUCUAAAGCUCUACUACUUGAUAUGAUUAAAAUCAUAUACCAGUAAUUUUUGGCUUUAUCCAUGUCAAUGAUGAGCAAUAUGUUGGAUAGACAAAGUUAGUAUCAAUUCCUUAGGGUGUGCAUACUGCAUAGUUAUAGGUGAGUAGCAGUAUAUUCUAUUUGCUCAAACUCGCUUACCUACUUAACUAAUUGUUGAACAAAUAUUAAUGACUUUAUAAGUAGGGGUAAGGAUGCCUACCAAUCACCAAUCUCCAACCCCACAAAAGUGCAAUAUUUGUGUACCAGGUAUGGUCUUUUUAAUAUAUAGGUCUUACAUUUGGUGAUCAUUUUUUAAUAACUUGUUUGUCUCAUUCAGGUUUGAGAAAGAAAAAGUGGAGUAUUAAAGAAGACUUCAGGGGUGGUAAAACUGGUUUCAUCACAUUGACAUCGAAGUAGACAGAGCGGUCUCAUAACGGAAAUAUAUUCUUUACAUGUUAUGGCCCUAUAUAGUUUGAGAGCCUACCUCUUUGUUCCGACAAAGAAGAAAGAUGAGCACAUAGAAGAAGGUGCAACUCCAGUUUCAAUCUCCACUGCUAAAACUGCUCCUAUUGCUGAAAAAACCUUACACUCACCAUCUGUCACAAAACUUGUGAAGUUGCGGGAACCAAUUCCAGAGAAUCAACAGCGUGAACUUUUCAAGUGGAUGUUGGAAGAGAAAAGGAAGAUAAAACCAAAAGAUCCUGAAGAAAAGAAGUGCAUUGAUGAAGAGAAAGCCAUUCUCAAACAGUGUAUUCGAGCGAAACCUAUCCCUAGUAUCUAAUUAUUUAACACUUGUUCUCAAAUUUAAAUAUUACUAUAAAUGAAUAUUUUCUUUCUUUUUA